AUUCGAGUUAAUUCAAGUGUUGUUUAAAGAAUAUGCAAAACUAUUGUCUCGCUAUAGCGUGGGGAUUCUCCGAGGAGGGAACACCCUAAUAUCACAGUCAUUAUGCCGGUGGACUGGAUUAAUAGAAUAUUGAAUGUCUAGGAAGGAGGCUUCGAUUUCUAGGCUGCUUUUGUCCGAAGCUCGAAGGCUGUAAGCUGAUCCCGCUGCACCCGGCUCCCUCAGAAAGGAAACUCGACUCCUCCUGCCUGAGUCUGAGCUGGAGCACGGCAGCUGGCUCGCUGGGGCUGGUGCAGGGCAGACCUGUGGAGCUCGACAGCUGACAGCAGGAGACCAGACCGACAGACAGACAGACUGAGAGGCUCUCACACACGCACACGCACACACACACACGCACACGCACUGCCGCUCUGGGCUCUUCUCAAUCAGGGGCUGUUUGUACAGCCAGUCUCUCUCUCUCGCUCUCUCGGUUAUGUGCUGCUCGAGUCAGGGCACACCAGUGCAGGCCAGUCUCUCUGUGUCGGGGGGGUCGAUGGGGAGCUCUGCUCAGAACGUGAGCCUCUCUGUGGGAUUCCUGGAAAAGUAAAGAGGAGACGGACCCGGAGCCACGCUCUGGAGAGCUGCAAGUAACAAAGAAAGAACGAAACGACGAGAGAAAGAAAGAAAAAAGAUGUCAGAGGAGGCAGACCUGGGUGAGGUUCCGGACCCCUCCCCGGACCCGAGUGCGAGCCACAAGCUGGACUGCAUCAUCUGCUACUCCUCCUUCAACCUGCGUGAGCGUCUCCCACGCAAGCUGCACUGCGGGCACACGUUCUGCCAGGACUGCCUGCGGCGGCUGGACACGGUGCUGAACGAGCAGCUCUGGAUCCCCUGUCCACAGUGCCGGCAGAACACCCCCUGUCCGCGGGGUGGGGCCGGCGCGCUCGACCUGGACCUCGCCGCCUUCCUCGCAGCCAAAACCCAGGCGGAGACCCACAGGGCGUCGACCCGGCAGACCGGCGCCGAACCCCCCAGCAAUGUGUCCAGCGGCAAGCAGCAGCCGAUCAGCGAGCAGCCCUCUGUGUGGGGCCAGGAGCUCCCCUCGGAGCCACACUUCCCCAGGAGCCCCUGCUGCUGCCGCUGCUGCUGCUGCUGGUGGGUGUGAGCGGCCAGUGCAAGGAGAUCCGCCCUGUCCAGACUGGAGGGGUCCCACCGGCAAACCAAAUGACAUGCAACUGACCCACGGCUGCUGUGUGGCACAGAUGUAGAGAGCAUCUCCUUUCUCACCCUGAGAAACUGAGACACACUGGCACAGGCUCAGCACUGCAGACACUUUGAACAACAGCAGGUGGAAACACAGCUCAUGCUAUUGGACGGGGGUGCACAAUUCCGGUCCCUCCUGACUUUUGUUCCAACCUUGCCCUAAAUUAUUUAAUUGGACCAAUUAUUACCAAUUAUUGGUCUAAUUAAGUAAUUUAGAACACAAUUGGAAUAAAAGCCAGGAGGGACACCGGCCCUCCAGGACCGGAAUUGCACACCUCUGCUAUAGGAGAUCGUUGGAUCCUACAGCCCUGGAAAGGCUUGCAGUGAUUGUGUGAGGACUCUGACCCGUGUGAAUCCAGGCAGAAGGGUUGUGUUGUAACUGUAGUUUUCCAGCUCCUGUAAAGAGGAAUCAGUAACCACCUCUAUCCACCAGAACGAUGAGGAGCUUCUCACGCAGUGCAAACCACGUGAUGCUCAGAUUAGCAGGGAUUAGGGCGGAGCGCUCUGCUUUGCAUUGCUCUGUACUGACACGAUCUUCUGUGGCUCUUUCCAGUAUUAAAUGCGCUUCCUUUCCAGCUGUGUCCUCUAGUCCUGCUUUCUGUGCUUCAAGUCUCAGCUUUGUUCACAGCUAAACAGAUUAACUAACUGGAUGAAAAAAUAAAGGAAUGAUUCUUUUUUGUCAGUCUGAUCUCCCUUAAUAAUAAUAAUAAUAAUAAUAAUAAUAAUAAUACGCGCCAGCGUCACGUUUUCAUUUCCAGCACACCUGUGCCCCUAGGACGAGUCCACGAGAGACCCGGGCGGAGCGACUGUGCCUGGAGAACGUUUCCAUAGCAACCACUUACCUGCGGCUCACGGGAAAGUUAGCGGACCCCGAAUACGAGGUUGAGUCUGUGGUGAAGAACGCGCUGUGCGUCUGUAUCGCUGCAGACAGCUGGUUUGCAGGUAUGUUGUGGUAGCUCCGUUAUUGAAGAUGUGGGUGCGCCUUGCAAAUCGAGCGGUGUCUUAGACACCUGUUUUUGACUCCAGAUAUUUCUUAAUGAUCGCACCCGAGUGACUACCUGCUUUAGGAGUGGCGCGACAACAAAGCCAAGUUUCGACCCAGAACCUGCAAACCUCCUGCAGAAACCUGCCUGGAUACCUGGAGAGAUCUUAAUCGCUCGCUGUGCUCUGGGAUGUACUCUUUUCGUUCUUCGGGAGAAGACUUGCUAGCUAGUGGUUAAAGGGACAUAUUUUUAAGGGCAGUGAAGUUUUGUUUCCGAUAACCGUCUCCCCCGGGAGCUCCGUGUUUACACGCGUUAAUCCUGCUGCUGCACCGGCUCUCACAGAACCAGGGCCGCGGCGCUACGGUUCUGUCGUGUAAACGCGACGGGACUCUUUCUGAAGGAGCGUUUGGUGUGUGAUUGUGCCGCAGUCACGCCCUCGCCAGGAUGUAAUGGUUGGAUUUGAAUACGGCAGAACGUUGCCAGAGCCUCUUGUGAUUUGGAGAGGCAGGCCUGUAAGAUCACACAGCUGGGUCGACCAUGGCAGGAAAGCGGCUGCUUUGCACAGUGCUCUGCUGGCAUUGAUCACGGAG